GGGCGCUUAGCUCAGCUGGCCAGAGCACCGCCCUUACAAGGCGGGGGUCGGGGGUUCGAGUCCCUCAGCGCCCA
rnacentral:tRNA from 1 species